GCCGAUUUGCUCAGUCGGUAGAGCAACGCACUCGUAACGCGUAGGUCGUAGGUUCGAUUCCUGCAAUCGGCA
rnacentral:tRNA from 1 species